CGCAAUUCGCCCUUGGGUGCAGCAGGCGCGAAAACUUUACAAUGCUGGCAACAGCGAUAAGGGGACCUCGAGUGCCAGGAUACAAUCCUGGCUGUCGUAAUGCCUAAAAAGCAUUGCAUAGCAAGGGCCGGGCAAGACCGGUGCCAGCCGCCGCGGUAACACCGGCGGCUCGAGUGGUAACCGCUAUUAUUGGGUCUAAAGGGUCUGUAGCCGGCUGACUAAGUCUCUUGGGAAAUCUGGCAGCUCAACUGUCAGGCUUUCAGGAGAUACUGAUCGGCUCGAGACCGGGAGAGGUGAGAGGUACCCCAGGGGUAGGGGUGAAAUCUUGUAAUCCUUGAGGGACCACCAGUGGCGAAGGCGUCUCACCAGAACGGAUCUGACGGCAAGGGACGAAAGCUAGGGGCACGAACCGGAUUAGAUACCCGGGUAGUCCUAGCCGUAAACGAUACUCGCUAGGUGUCGGCCACGGUGCGACCGCGGUCGGUGCCGUAGGGAAGCCGUGAAGCGAGCCACCUGGGAAGUACGGCCGCAAGGCUGAAACUUAAAGGAAUUGGCGGGGGAGCAC
rnacentral:rRNA from 1 species